rnacentral:misc_RNA from 1 species
UCUCUCUCUCUCUCUCUACAUAUGCUCUAUUCCUCAAGUUCAAAUUUGCAAAUUAGUUUUAUAAUGUGUAUCGGUUAGAUUCUCUAUUAGGUUAGUUUUGAGUAUUUUUGGGUUAUUGAGCAAUACAGCGUAUGAAAUUUACAGCUACAGGGAAGCAACUGUGCAAUUUGGAAUUCUUUUUACUCCAUUUGAAGCUGCUUUGUGAUACAAAAUCAAUCUGGGGAACUGCUUCUGUAUAAAAUCUUAAUUCUUGUGCUUAAUUGGCUAGCUUCUGGAUUCUAAUGUUGAUCUCUAUGGGGAUCCGAGAGAUCCUGAAUGGUUUUUCUGAUAGUUGUUUGAUUGAUUUUAUGGACUGAUAAUGUUUCUUAAGGACCUAAAAUUAAGACCUUUGUACUAGAUUAUCAAUACCAAUGCGAAAACAAUUGCUUCAUGUAUAGUAAAUGCAUUCAUGAGGUGGGGUUCUUGCUGUUUACUUAUGGAGCCAGACUGUACUUAAGCUUGUAAUUCCAAUAACUCUUUUGUGGUCUUGGCAGCAAUGCAAGUAACUCUUUUGAUUCCAUUGACAUCUUUGUGCCUUAUCAGAACAUCACUGCAGAUUACAGUAGGAAAAGUUUUCAUUCAUGGUUAUGAAUAUACUUUUGAAAUCCAAUUCAAUUUGUUUGGGUGUUUACUUAAUCUACUUAAUUAAUGAUGCUUUUGGUUGUUUUUGGACAUUAUCAUUUAAAUCAUGCAUUUCAUCAUCACAUGAUAUAAAAUUUUCAGUCUUAAUUUCAUUGCAGUAUGUUUGUCCUGAACUCAGUUGUCAUCCCAACAAUACAAUGGAUACCACCUGAUCAAUAUUCAGAUAAUAGUUCUCAAGAACCAGGCACUUUUGGCAAUAUUUUAAAACUUUAGUCUUUUUUACGUGUUGGACUUAUACAGCUCUUUUAUGUAAGUAUG